rnacentral:rRNA from 1 species
CCUACGGGUGGCAGCAGUGGGGAAUAUUGCACAAUGGGGGAAACCCUGAUGCAGCGACGCCGCGUGAGUGAAGAAGUAUUUCGGUAUGUACAGCUCUAUCAGCAGGGAAGAAAAUGACGGUAACUGAUUAAGAAGCCCCGGCGAACUACGUGCCAGCAGCCGCGGUAAUACGUAGGGGGCCAGCGUUAUCCGGAUUUACUGGGUGUAAAGGGAGCGUAGACGGGGAUGCAAGUAAGAAGUGAAGGCCCGGGGCUCAACUGCGGGACUGCUUUUGAAACUGUGUGACUGGAGUGCAGGAGAGGUAAGCGGAAGUCCGGGUGUAGCGGUGAAAUGCGGAGAUAUCAGGAGGAACACCAGUGGCGAAGGCGGCUUACUGGACUGUAACUGACGUUGAGGCUCGAAAGCGUGGGGAGCAAACAGGAGUAGAUACCCCUGUAGUC